CAUGCAUGUAUAAGUUCAAACGAUUUUAUCGUGAAACCGCGAACGGCUCAUUACAACAGCUAUAAUUUACUUGAUCUUGACAAAUCCUACUUGGAUAACUGUGGUAAUUCUAGAGCUAAUACAUGCACCAAAGCUCUGACCUUACGGGAAGAGUGCAUUUAUUAGAACAAAACCAGGCGGCCUUCGGGUCGUUUUUUGUUGACUCAGAAUAACUAAGCUGAUCGCAUGGUCUCGUACCGGCGACGUGUCUUUCAAGUGUCUGCCUUAUCAACUUUCGAUGGUAGUGUAUGUGACUACCAUGGUUGUGACGGGUAACGGAGGAUAAGGGUUUGACUCCGGAGAAGGGGCCUGAGAAAUGGCCACUACGUCUAAGGAUGGCAGCAGGCGCGCAAAUUACCCACUCUCAGAAUGAGGAGGUAGUGACGAGAAAUAACGAGACCGUUCUCUUAGAGGCCGGUCAUCGGAAUGGGUACAAUCUAAACCCUUUAACGAGUAUCUAUGAGAGGGCAAGUCUGGUGCCAGCAGCCGCGGUAAUUCCAGCUCUCAAAAUGCAUAGAAUUAUUGCUGCGGUUAAAAAGCUCGUAGUUGGAUCUGUGCCGCAGGACUCGGUCCGCCUUCGGGCGCGCACUGAGCUCCUCGGCUUUUCUGCUGGUUUUCCCGUUAUGGUCUUAACCGGCCGUAGCGGGUGGCUGGCGAUUUUACUUUGAACAAAUCAGAGUGCUCAACACAGGCGUUUCGCUUGAAUGUUCUUGCAUGGAAUAAUAGAAGAGGAUUUCGGUCCUAUUUUAUUGGUUUUAUAGGCUGAAAUAAUGGUUAAUAGAGACAAACGGGGGCAUUCGUAUCGCUGCGUGAGAGGUGAAAUUCUUGGACCGCAGCGAGACGAACUACAGCGAAAGCAUUUGCCAAGAAUGUCUUCAUUAAUCAAGAACGAAAGUUAGAGGAUCGAAAGCGAUCAGAUACCGCCCUAUCUCGUACACACAUAAAAAAA
rnacentral:rRNA from 1 species